AGCCUUAUGUAUCCGUGUUGAGAUUUCGUCAUAAAUCAGACCACAAGGGUUGAUGAGACUCCCAAGAUAAGUGAAGCU
rfam:Schistosoma mansoni, Puerto Rico, WGS project CABG01000000 data, contig: 0071